rnacentral:rRNA from 1 species
GUGAGGAAUUUUCCGCAAUGGGCGAAAGCCUGACGGAGCAAUGCCGCGUGAAGGAUGAAGGCCUAUGGGUUGUAAACUUCUUUUCUCAGAAAAGAAUUAUGACGGUAUCUGAGGAAUAAGCAUCGGCUAACUCUGUGCCAGCAGCCGCGGUAAGACAGAGGAUGCAAGCGUUAUCCGGAAUGAUUGGGCGUAAAGCGUCUGUAGGUUGUUUAAAAAGUAUUCUGUCAAAGAUUAGGGCUUAACCCUAGAUAGGCAGAAUAAACUUUUAAGCUAGAGUUUGGUAGAGGCAGAGGGAAUUCCCGGUGGAGCGGUGAAAUGCGUAGAUAUCGGGAGGAACAACAAAGGCGAAGGCACUCUGCUGGGCCAAUACUAACACUGAGAGACGAAAGCGAGGGGAGCAAAUGGGAUUAGAUACCCGAGUAGUCC